UACGUAGGGGGCAAGCGUUAUCCGGAUUCACUGGGUUUAAAGGGAGCGUAGGUGGGUCUGUAAGUCAGUGGUGAAAUCUCCGGGCUUAACCUGGAAACUGCCAUUGAUACUAUAGGUCUUGAAUAUUGUGGAGGUUAGCGGAAUAUGUCAUGUAGCGGUGAAAUGCUUAGAUAUGACAUAGAACACCAAUUGCGAAGGCAGCUGGCUACGCAUAUAUUGACACUGAGGCUCGAAAGCGUGGGGAUCAAACAGG
rnacentral:rRNA from 1 species